rnacentral:rRNA from 1 species
CCUACGGGAGGCAGCAGUGAGGAAUAUUGCGCAAUGGGCGAAAGCCUGACGCAGCAACGCCGCGUGGAUGAUGAAGUUCUUCGGAAUGUAAAAUCCUUUUGCAGAGGAAGAAUAUCCCGAUUUAUCGGGACUGACGGUACUCUGCGAAUAAGCCACGGCUAACUCUGUGCCAGCAGCCGCGGUAAU